rnacentral:tRNA from 1 species
UCCUUGGUGAUCUAGUGGUUAGGAUUUGCCACUUUCUCUGUUGUGGCCCAGGUUCGAUUCCUUGCCUGGGAA